rnacentral:rRNA from 1 species
GACGAACGCUGGCGGCGUGCCUAAUACAUGCAAGUCGAGCGGAGUUUUUAAAAGCUUGCUUUUAAAAACUCAGCGGCGGACGGGUGAGUAACACGUGGGCAACCUGCCCUGUAGACUGGGAUAACUUCGGGAAACCGAAGCUAAUACCGGAUAAUCAUAGAAGUUGCAUAGCUUCUAUGUAAAAGUUGGGUUUACCUAACACUACAGGAUGGGCCCGCGUCGCAUUAGCUAGUUGGUAAGGUAACGGCUUACCAAGGCGACGAUGCGUAGCCGACCUGAGAGGGUGAUCGGCCACACUGGGACUGAGACACGGCCCAGACUCCUACGGGAGGCAGCAGUAGGGAAUCUUCCGCAAUGGACGAAAGUCUGACGGAGCAACGCCGCGUGAGCGAUGAAGGCCUUCGGGUCGUAAAGCUCUGUUGUUAGGGAAGAAACAAAGUGCUAUUCGAAUAGGGUGG